UACGUAGGGGGCUAGCGUUGUCCGGAAUCAUUGGGCGUAAAGCGCGUGUAGGCGGUCCGGUAAGUCCGCUGUGAAAGUCGGGGGCUCAACCCUCGAAUGCCGGUGGAUACUGUCGGGCUAGAGUGCGGAAGAGGCGAGUGGAAUUCCUGGUGUAGCGGUGAAAUGCGCAGAUAUCAGGAGGAACACCAAUGGCGAAGGCAGCUCACUGGGACGGUAUUGACGCUGAGACGCGAAAGCGUGGGGAGCAAACAGG
rnacentral:rRNA from 1 species